GAUCUGGAUGAUUGAUUGAUCAUGAAAUGAGUCAAAUCUAAGCAAGAAGGCUAAAUAGAGUUAUCAAUGAUGGGAUUGAAGGCUGCGUAGCACAAAUUGAUAAAAGUCAAUAGUCAGAGAGCGAGUUCUGGUUCUAGGACCAACCUAGAGACUACCUUUGAUUUUUUUAUGGAACCCUAAAUGCAAGAAGUGAGAGAAAGAG
rnacentral:lncRNA from 1 species